AGCCCUCUUUGCACUCUCCUUGUCCAUAGCAACCUGCCCUAGGAGCCCGCCCGGAAGGUGUCCCCACCUGGAAGGAAUGACAGCCCUGUGGCGCCUGAGGAUGUAAAAGGGUUAGAGGAACCUCAGCCACACCGUCUGGAGGCCCGGCGGGCGUGCACACCUCCUCCAGGCAGCCCCCCCGCCACACACACACCCUAGGAAACGCUCUGAACACCUCGGAGAGGAAGGAACAAUGUGCUGGAGUGAAUUCUAAAUUAAUUGAUCCUUACCAGGGCCUCAGGGGGCCUACUGGUUCUUCUCUUCCACACCCCUGCCUUGCACUGAGUAUGUUUUGUUUUCCUUUCUCCACAGUAAGCCCUGAUGGGUUUGUGCAGCAGAGGGAUGAGAGGAUCAUGCCGGGGUGGGGGUUGGGAGGAGUCUGUGACGAUGGGGUUGAGAGCCAAUGAUCUGGCCCCUCGCCCGGGCGCAGCCAC